AGAACGAACGCUGGCGGCAUGCCUAACACAUGCAAGUCGAACGAGACCUUCGGGUCUAGUGGCGCACGGGUGCGUAACGCGUGGGAAUCUACCCUGGGUUCGGAAUAACAGUUGGAAACGACUGCUAAUACCGGAUGAUGACGUAAGUCCAAAGAUUUAUCGCCCAGGGAUGAGCCCGCGUAGGAUUAGCUAGUUGGUGAGGUAAAGGCUCACCAAGGCGACGAAUCCUUAGCUGGUCUGAGAGGAUGAUCAGCCACACUGGGACUGAGACACGGCCCAGACUCCUACGGGAGGCAGCAGUGGGGAAUAUUGGACAAUGGGCGAAAGCCUGAUCCAGCAAUGCCGCGUGAGUGAUGAAGGCCUUAGGGUUGUAAAGCUCUUUACCCGAGAUGAUAAUGACAGUAUCGGAGAAUAAGCCCGGCUAACUCCGCGCCAGCAGCCGC
rnacentral:rRNA from 1 species